rnacentral:rRNA from 2 species
AGAGUUUGAUCCUGGCUCAGGAUGAACGCUAGCUACAGGCUUAACACAUGCAAGUCGAGGGGCAGCAUGAUUGAAGCUUGCUUCAAUCGAUGGCGACCGGCGCACGGGUGAGUAACACGUAUCCAACCUGCCGAUAACUCGGGGAUAGCCUUUCGAAAGAAAGAUUAAUACCCGAUAGCAUAGUAUUUCCGCAUGGUUUCACUAUUAAAGAAUUUCGGUUAUCGAUGGGGAUGCGUUCCAUUAGAUAGUUGGCGGGGUAACGGCCCACCAAGUCAACGAUGGAUAGGGGUUCUGAGAGGAAGGUCCCCCACAUUGGAACUGAGACACGGUCCAAACUCCUACGGGAGGCAGCAGUGAGGAAUAUUGGUCAAUGGACGAGAGUCUGAACCAGCCAAGUAGCGUGAAGGAUGACUGCCCUAUGGGUUGUAAACUUCUUUUAUACGGGAAUAAAGUGGAGUAUGCAUACUCCUUUGUAUGUACCGUAUGAAUAAGGAUCGGCUAACUCCGUGCCAGCAGCCGCGGU